rnacentral:rRNA from 1 species
AGUGAACGCUGGCGGUAGGCCUAACACAUGCAAGUCGGACGGCAGCACAGGAGAGCUUGCUCUCUGGGUGGCGAGUGGCGGACGGGUGAGGAAUACAUCGGAAUCUACUCUGUCGUGGGGGAUAACGUAGGGAAACUUACGCUAAUACCGCAUACGACCUACGGGCGAAAGCAGGGGACCUUCGGGCCUUGCGCGAUUGAAUGAGCCGAUGUCGGAUUAGCUAGUUGGCGGGGUAAAGGCCCACCAAGGCGACGAUCCGUAGCUGGUCUGAGGGGAUGAUCAGCCACACUGGAAUUGGGAAACGGUCCAGACUCCUACGGGAGGCAGCAGUGGGGAAUAUUGGACAAUGGGCGCAAGCCUGAUCCAGCCAUACCGCGUGGGUGAAGAAGGCCUUCGGGUUGUAAAGCCCUUUUGUUGGGAAAGAAAUCCAGCUGGCUAAUACCCGGUUGGGAUGACGGUACCCAAAGAAUAAGCACCGGCUAACUUCGUGCCAGCAGCCGCCGUAA